rnacentral:rRNA from 1 species
GGCUCAGGAUGAACGCUAGCGGCAGGCCUAACACAUGCAAGUCGAGGGGUAACAGGGUAGCAAUAUCGCUGACGACCGGCGCACGGGUGAGUAACGCGUAUGCAACCUUCCUUUAACUGGGGGAUAGCCCGGAGAAAUUCGGAUUAAUACCCCAUAACAUCACAGAAAGGCAUCUUUCAAUGAUUAAAGCUCCGGCGGUUAAAGAUGGGCAUGCGUGCCAUUAGCUAGUUGGUGAGGUAACGGCUCACCAAGGCUACGAUGGUUAGGGGGUCUGAGAGGAUGAUCCCCCACACUGGUACUGAGACACGGACCAGACUCCUACGGGAGGCAGCAGUGAGGAAUAUUGGGCAAUGGGCGCAAGCCUGACCCAGCCAUGCCGCGUGAAGGAUGAAUGCCCUAUGGGUUGUAAACUUCUUUUUUACGGGACAAAACUCUCGGACGUGUCCGGGAUUGAUGGUACUGUAUGAAUAAGCAUCGGCUAACUCCGUGCCAGCAGCCGCGGUAAUACGGAGGAUGCAAGCGUUAUCCGGAUUCAUUGGGUUUAAAGGGUGCGUAGGCGGAAUAAUAAGUCAGCGGUGAAAGCCUGCGGCUUAACCGUAGAAUUGCCAUUGAUACUGUUAUUCUUGAGUAUAGUUGAAGUAGGCGGAAUGUGUAAUGUAGCGGUGAAAUGCUUAGAUAUUACACAGAACACCAAUUGCGAAGGCAGCUUACUAAGCUGUUACUGACGCUGAGGCACGAAAGCGUGGGGAGCAAACAGGAUUAGAUACCCUGGUAGUCCACGCUGUAAACGAUGAUCACUCGUUGUUGGCGAUACACUGUCAGCGACUGAGCGAAAGCAAUAAGUGAUCCACCUGGG